rnacentral:misc_RNA from 1 species
UUUCCGUGGGUGAACCAGCGGAGGGAUCAUUACUGAGACUCCAUACUCCCCGAACCAUCCCUAAGCCCCCCUGAAACCGCCGCUCUGCCGGGGCCGCACGCGCCCUCGUCCCAGCCAAGCCCCUCUGAACCUCACGGAAUGGCCCGGGUUAACGCCCGGUGCCGUUCCGCUUCUUACAAACACUUAUCAAAAAAUGAACAGAAGGCGGUCUUACCGCUGGAUAACAAACUAAAACAACUUUCAACCACAGAACACUUGGCUCUUGCACCGAUGAAGAAC